rnacentral:lncRNA from 1 species
UCCUUUUUGCACUUAACUUCCCAACAGUCUCCUUUCUGUGUCUGAAAUCCUUGACCCUUCUCUCAGCAGCCCUACAGAGUAGCAGGCACUGACUUAGGACCUAAGAACCCUGACUUUUUAACUGUGGCUCUGUCUCCAAUGGUUCCCUACCCCCAGCUUCCCUUAAAUGACAUCACCACCCACCUGGUUGCUCAGGCCUGAAAAGGGAGCCAUCUGGGACUUCUGCCUUUCCUGUGUGGUGCGAGUCAACAAGGCCUAUCCAUUAAACCCUAGAUAUUCCCUGUCUGGCCGGAGGGAUGGCUCUGGGUAAGAGGACUGGCUAUUCUUCCAAAAGAGCUGGGUUCAGUUCCCAGCACCCAGAUGCUGGCUCACUCGCUUCGGUUUUGGAGGAUCCAGCACCCUCUUCUGGUCUCUGUGGACAUAAGGCACACAUGUCGCACAGACAUACAUCCAGGCCAAACAAACAUUUAAAGUUGGAAAAAAAAAAUUCUGCCAGGCAUGGUAGCGUACCAACCUGUGAUCCCAGCAUUUGGCCAGUGGAGGCAGGAGGAUCAGGAGUUGCAUCUUUAUACCAAACUUGAAAACAGCGUGGGCUACAUGAGACCCUGUCAAAAUAUUUUUUUAAAAAACGCUAAAGUGCUGCUUGAAUGCUCCCUGUCACCGUUUAUCUGGCGCCCUCUCAUGUGGUUAGAAUGUCCUCUGUGGCCUGGUCCCUGUCCACGGGUCCAGCUGGACCACCUGUUCCUGCCCUCCUCACUGGCCACCCUUUGCUUGGACAAUGCCUGUUCGUUUUGCAGGGCAGAACUUGACCUGGAUGGCACCUCUCCAGAAACCUCCUGUCUCUUUUGGGUGUCCUUUAUCAUUUUGCCACAGUAUACAGUGACUGCUUCCGUUUGUGACCCCAGGGUGCUUUAAAACUCCUUGAAGACCAGGAUCAGGUCUAGUGCACUCCUGCAUUCCCAGCAUCUGGCCUCUGCUCUGGAAUGACCUGACCAGGUGUAGGUGCUCUGGUACCUCAUGUUCUCAUGAAAGCUGUCUCGGGACACCCGGGUGUCUCUAAAGUCCGGCACACAGCAGGUGCUGCUAACACAUGUGCUGAGUCAACGAAGAAAAGAAGAAAAAAUGAUCAUGUGAUUCUGAACAAGUCACUCUAUCCUUUGGCUGUGUACACACGUGUGCGUGUGGGUGUGCAUUCAAGUUCACGUAUGCACAACAUGAGAGCCAGAAGACACCCAGUGUCCUGCUCCAGGACUCCCUUAUUUCCCUGAGACGGGUUCUCCCUGGCCCUGAGCCUAGCACGGGCAGCCAGCGCACGCCCAUGAUCCUCCUGUUUCUGCUCGCACAGCACUGGAGUUAAAGGCAGCAUGCUUUUAACAUGUGCUGGAGGGGUUGGGGAUUUAGCUCAGCGGUAGAGCGCUUGCCUAGCAAGUGCAAGGCCCUGGGUUCGGUCCCCAGCUCCG